UAACACAUGCAAGUCGAGCGCCGUAGCAAUACGGAGCGGCAGACGGGAGAGUAACACGUGGGAACGUACCCUUUGGUUCGGAACAACCCAGGGAAACUUGGGCUAAUACCGGAUGAGCCCUCACGGGGAAAGAUUCAUCGCCGAAGGAUCGGCCCGCGUCUGAUUAGCUAGUUGGUGGGGUAAUGGCCCACCAAGGCGACGAUCAGUAGCUGGUCUGAGAGGAUGAUCAGCCUCACUGGGACUGAGACACGGCCCAGACUCCUACGGGAGGCAGCAGUGGGGAAUAUUGGACAAUGGGCGCAAGCCUGAUCCAGCCAUGCCGCGUGGGUGAUGAAGGCCCUAGGGUUGUAAAGCCCUUUCGGCGGGGAAGAUAAUGACGGUACCCGCAGAAGAAGCCCCGGCUAACUUCGUGCCAGCAGCCGCGGUAAUACGAAGGGGGCUAGCGUUGCUCGGAAUCACUGGGCGUAAAGCGCACGUAGGCGGAUUGUUAAGUCAGGGGUGAAAUCCUGNAGCUCAACUC
rnacentral:rRNA from 1 species